rnacentral:rRNA from 1 species
UACGUAGGGUGCGAGCGUUAAUCGGAAUUACUGGGCGUAAAGCGUGCGCAGGCGGUUCGUUGUGUCUGAUGUGAAAGCCCCGGGCUCAACCUGGGAAUGGCAUUGGAAACUGGCGAGCUAGAGUGUGGCAGAGGGGGGGUGGAAUUCCGCGUGUAGCAGUGAAAUGCGUAGAGAUGCGGAGGAACACCGAUGGCGAAGGCAGCCCCCUGGGCUGACACUGACGCUCAGGCACGAAAGCGUGGGGGAGCAAACAGG